rnacentral:rRNA from 1 species
GAAUCUGGCUUCGGGUUCGGGACAACAGUGGGAAACUGCUGCUAAUACCGGAUGUGCCGCAAGGUAAAAGAUUAAUUGCCUGAAGGUGAGCUCGCGUCCGAUUAGCUAGUUGGUGUGGUAAGAGCGCACCAAGGCGUCGAUCGGUAGCUGGUCUGAGAGGACGAUCAGCCACACUGGGACUGAGACACGGCCCAGACUCCUACGGGAGGCAGCAGUGGGGAAUUUUCCGCAAUGGGCGAAAGCCUGACGGAGCAAUACCGCGUGAGGGAGGAAGGCUCUUGGGUUGUAAACCUCUUUUCUCAGGGAAGAAUGAUGACGGUACCUGAGGAAUAAGCAUCGGCUAACUCCGUGCCAGCAGCCGCGGUAAUACGGAGGAUGCAAGCGUUAUCCGGAAUGAUUGGGCGUAAAGCGUCCGCAGGUGGCAAUGUAAGUCUGCUGUCAAAGCGUCUGGCUCAACCAGAUAAAGGCAGUGGAAACUACAUAGCUAGAGUAAGGUAGGGGUAGAGGGAAUUCCUGGUGUAGCGGUGAAAUGCGUAGAGAUCAGGAAGAACACCGGUGGCGAAAGCGCUCUGCUGGACCUUAACUGACACUGAGGGACGAAAGCUAGGGGAGCG